UAUGUACUCCCUCCGUUCGGAAUUACUUGUCGUAGAAAUGGAUGUAUCUUGAUGUAUUUUAGUUCUACAUACAUCCAUUUCCGAGACAAGUAAUUCCGAACGGAGGGAGUAACUC
rnacentral:pre_miRNA from 1 species